CAGCCGCCGCGGGAAUACGAAGGGUGCAAGCGUUAAUCGGAAUUACUGGGCGUAAAGCGUGCGUAGGCGGUGAGUUAAGUCUGCUGUGAAAUCCCCGGGCUCAACCUGGGAAUGGCAGUGGAUACUGGCUCGCUAGAGUGUGUCAGAGGAUGGUGGAAUUCCCGGUGUAGCGGUGAAAUGCGUAGAGAUCGGGAGGAACAUCAGUGGCGAAGGCGGCCAUCUGGGACAACACUGACGCUGAGGCACGAAAGCGUGGGGAGCAAACAGGAUUAGAUACCCCUGUAGUCCCUGUCUCUUAUAC
rnacentral:rRNA from 1 species